CCGGCGCACGGGUGAGUAGCGCGUAUGUAAUCUACCUGUAACAGAGGGAUAACCCGGAGAAAUCCGGACUAAUACCUCAUAGCACAUAUUAUUCGCAUGAAUUUUAUGUUAAAGAGACUCGGUUACAGAUGAACAUGCGUUCCAUUAGCUAGUUGGCGGGGUUACGGCCCACCAAGGCAACGAUGGAUAGGGGUUCUGAGAGGAAGGUCCCCCACACUGGUACUGAGACACGGACCAG
rnacentral:rRNA from 1 species